rnacentral:tRNA from 1 species
GGGCGCGUAGCUCAGCCUGGUUAGAGCAUCAGUCUUAUAAGCUGGUGGUCGAGGGUUCAAAUCCCUCCGUGCCCA